rnacentral:rRNA from 1 species
CCUACGGGGUGCAGCAGUGGGGGAUAUUGCACAAUGGGGGAAACCCUGAUGCAGCGACGCCGCGUGGGUGAAGAAGUAUUUCGGUAUGUAAAGCCCUAUCAGCAGGGAAGAAAGAAGACGGUACCUGACUAAGAAGCCCCGGCUAACUACGUGCCAGCAGCCGCGGUAAUACGUAGGGGGCGAGCGUUAUCCGGAUUCACUGGGUGUAAAGGGAGCGUAGACGGCCGUGCAAGCCAGGAGUGAAAGCCCGGGGCCCAACCCCGGGACUGCUCUUGGAACUGUGCGGCUGGAGUGCGGGAGGGGCAGGCGGAAUUCCUGGUGUAGCGGUGAAAUGCGUAGAUAUCAGGAGGAACACCGGCGGCGAAGGCGGCCUGCUGGACCGCGACUGACGUUGAGGCUCGAAAGCGUGGGGAGCGAACAGUAUUAGAUACCCUAGUAGUC